CUGACAGAGGCAUCCCUGCCUCACCUUGAGAUAAGGAGAAGGAUGAUAUGGUUGCCCUCUUAAUCUCUCUCCAUUUUUCUGCACCACUAGCAGAUUUCCUCACACACUCCUGUCCCUUUCUAUAUGUAUAGGACAUGCAUUAGCAUCAGAAUCACAUAAGGAAACCUGCUAUGGUCAGCAGACUCACAAUAUCAGCCCCUACACUGACCAAGUGGUUGUCAUGGAAUUUCCCUUCCUGUACUUUCAAAUCUCCAAAUAACUGCAAUUUAGAACAGCCUGUUUGCGCACCUGGGGGCAAAAGAGGAGAAAAAUUGUCAAAGCAGAAGAGGCAAAAGCACUUCAGCUAAUUACCGGCUUCUCUGGGUCAUGGAACAGUCAUGUGCAUUUUGGUAUCUCUCAUACAAUGUCAGCACAUUAAAGAAAGAGCUCAGGAG
rnacentral:lncRNA from 10 species